rnacentral:sRNA from 1 species
AGUUGCUCCGGCGGCGCUCGGGGAGGGAGCCAGCAGCCUGGGGCCCAGGCCCGGGCCACCAUGGCGCUGCCUUCGGGCCCAGCCGCCCUCCGGCACACACUGCUGCUCCUGCCAGCCCUUCUGAGCUCAGGUUGUGGGGAGUUGGAGCCACAAAUAGAUGGUCAGACCUGGGCUGAGCGGGCACUUCGGGAGAAUGAACGCCACGCCUUCACCUGCCGGGUGGCAGGGGGGCCUGGCACCCCCAGAUUGGCCUGGUAUCUGGAUGGACAGCUGCAGGAGGCCAACACCUCAAGACUGCUGAGCGUGGGAGGGGAGGCCUUCUCUGGAGGCACCAGCACCUUCACAGUCACAGCCCAUCGGGCUCAGCAUGAGCUCAACUGCUCCCUGCAGGACCCCAGCAGUGGCCGAUCAGCCAACGCCUCUGUCAUCCUCAAUGUGCAAUUCAAGCCAGAGAUUGCCCAAGUCGGUGCCAAGUACCAGGAAGCUCAGGGCCCAGGCCUCCUGGUUGUCCUGUUUGCCCUGGUGCGUGCCAACCCGCCUGCCAAUGUCACCUGGAUCGACCAGGAUGGGCCAGUGACUGUCAACACCUCUGACUUCCUGGUGCUGGAUGCGCAGAACUACCCCUGGCUCACCAACCAUACGGUGCAGCUGCAGCUCCGCAGCCUGGCACACAAUCUCUCGGUGGUGGCCACCAAUGACGUGGGUGUCACCAGUGCCUCGCUUCCAGCCCCAGGGCUUCUGGCUACCCGGGUGGAAGUGCCACUGCUGGGCAUUGUUGUGGCUGCUGGGCUUGCCCUGGGCACCCUCGUGGGGUUCAGCACCUUGGUGGCCUGCCUGGUCUGCAGAAAAGAGAAGAAAACCAAAGGUAGGCCAGGGACACUGGGGGCAGUGUGGAUGAGGUCAGGCUGAGCAGCAGCCAGGACAGCAAGUGCAGCU